CCCUGUAGCUCAGAAAGUAAAGAAUCUGCCUGCAAUGCAGGAGACCCGGGUUUGAUCCCUGGUUCAGGGA
rnacentral:tRNA from 1 species